UGGUUUGUAGUUGUCUUGCAUUGCUGUGUC
rnacentral:piRNA from 1 species